GCUCAGUGGUCUGAGCGCAGUGCUGACAACACCGAGGUCGCGGGUUCGAUUCCCGC
rnacentral:tRNA from 1 species